rnacentral:tRNA from 1 species
AAGGGAGACCUAAUUCAGGUAGGAGACGAAAAAAAAGUAGUCGCUACCAAGAAUCAAUCCCAAAAGGUCGGAGCGAGGCAAAAUUGGCUUUCAAACUAGGUUCUGGGUUCAAACAAGACCUGAAUCAGGAACAAGGGCUAUUAGCUCAGGUGGUUAGAGCGCACCCCUGAUAAGGGUGAGGUCCCUGGUUCGAGUCCAGGAUGGCCCACCUGCACAGGUGGCAAAAACAAGAGAAGCGGGGAAUCGGCACCUUAUCUUACUGACAUAGUAAGAGAGAAUGCUGGCUCUGAGUAAAGAGUCCAGAGGAACCUUGAAAACUGCAUAGAGCUAGGUGAAAAAGCCAAAAAAGAAGACCGCAA